UACGGGGGGAGCAAGCGUUGUUCGGAUUUAUUGGGCGUAAAGAGCGUGUAGGCGGCCAGGUAGGUCUGGUGUGAAAACUCGAGGCUUAACCUCGAGAUGUCAUCGGAAACCAUCUGGCUAGAGUCCGGAAGAGGAGAGUGGAAUUCCUGGUGUAGCGAUGAAAUGCGCAGAUAUCAGGAGGAACACCAAUUGCGAAGGCAGCUCGCUGGGACGUUACUGACGCUGAGACGCGAAAGCGUGGGGAGCAAACAGG
rnacentral:rRNA from 1 species